CAGGACGAACGCUGGCGGCGUGCCUAACACAUGCAAGUCGAGCGAGGAGAUCCUUCGGGAUGAUCCUAGCGGCGGACGGGUGAGUAACACGUGGGCAACCUGCCUCAUAGAGAGGAAUAGCCUUCCGAAAGGGAGAUUAAUACCUCAUAACAUUGCAGUUUCGCAUGGAACAGCAAUUAAAGGAGUAAUCCGCUAUGAGAUGGGCCCGCGGCGCAUUAGCUAGUUGGUGAGGUAACGGCUCACCAAGGCGACGAUGCGUAGCCGACCUGAGAGGGUGAUCGGCCACAUUGGGACUGAGACACGGCCCAGACUCCCACGGGAGGCAGCAGUGGGGAAUAUUGCACAAUGGGGGAAACCCUGAUGCCAGCAACGCCGCGUGAGUGAUGACGGCCUUCGGGUUGUAAAGCUCUGUCUUCAGGGACGAUAAUGACGGUACCUGAGGAGGAAGCCACGGCUAACUACGUGCCAGCCGCGGC
rnacentral:rRNA from 1 species